UCUCCGUAGGUGAACCUGCGGAGGGAUCAUUACAGAGUUCAUGCCCUACCGGGUAGAUCUCCCACCCUAUGUUAUUAUUACUUUGUUGCUUUGGCGGGCCGUUAGGCUCCGGCCCGACUACCGGCCCCGGCUGGUAAGCGCCCGCCAGAGGACCCAAAACCCUGAAUAUUAGUGUCGUCUGAGUACUAUAUAAUAGUUAAAACUUUCAACAACGGAUCUCUUGGCUCUA
rnacentral:misc_RNA from 1 species